AAUAAUUAUAGUUUUACACCGUUUAUGUUCAACGUUUAACCGUUCGUCAUAUUUGAAUUAUUUUUAUGAUUAAUAUUUUUAUUAUAUUAGAUGAUAAAACAUGAAUAGUACUUUGUGUGGGACUUUUUUUAGAAAAAAUAUAAAUUUUUUAAAUAAAAUGAAUGGUCAAAUGUUAGACACGAAUAUCUACGGCUGAGACACAUC
rnacentral:pre_miRNA from 1 species